CAUAGGUUUGGUCCCAGCCUUCCUGUUAACUCUCAACAGACUUACACAUGCAAGCAUCCACGCCCCGGUGAGUAACGCCCUCCAAAUCAAUAAGACUAAGAGGAGCAGGUAUCAAGCACACAUCUUGUAGCUUACAACGCCUCGCUUAACCACACCCCUACGGGAGACAGCAGUGACAAAAAUUAAGCCAUAAACGAAAGUUUGACUAAGCCAUGUUGACCAGGGUUGGUAAAUCUCGUGCCAGCCACCGCGGUCAUACGAUUAACCCAAGCUAACAGGAAUACGGCGUAAAACGUGUUAAAGCACUACAUCAAAUAGAGUUAAAUUCUAAUUAAACUGUAAAAAGCCAUAAUUACAACAAAAAUAGAUGACGAAAGUAACCCUACUGCAGCUGAUACACUAUAGCUAAGACCCAAACUGGGAUUAGAUACCCCACUAUGCUUAGCCCUAAACACAAAUAAUUACAGAAACAAAAUUAUUCGCCAGAGUACUACCGGCAACAGCCCGAAACUCAAAGGACUUGGCGGUGCUUUAUACCCUUCUAGAGGAGCCUGUUCUAUAAUCGAUAA
rnacentral:rRNA from 2 species